GACUUUGUAGCUCAGUUGGUAGAGCACAUCACUUUUAAUGAUGGGGUCCUGGGUUCGAGCCCCAGCAAAGUCA
rnacentral:tRNA from 1 species